UACUGAUGUUAUUUAUUUACAAAUUAUAGAUACAAAUUCAUGGUACUGCUACAAGAUUAGUGUAUAGUUUUUAAUAGAGAUCGUAGAACAUGUUGUUUGAAAGCGGUUCGAAAAUGCUAAAAUCGUAUAAAUUUUUAACAUUCGUAUAUAAAGCCCCAAAUGUUCUCGAUUUAAAUGAAAACAGCUCUUACAUGAAGUGUCAUACUAAUAUUAUUCAGUUUUACUUUCGUUUUAGUUAAACGUUGUUAAGACAUUGUUAUAUUUCGUUUAGUGUGUCGUCUUAUAAUUGGAAUGAGUUGAGCAUAAAUCAUUCAACAAGGAUCAAGUGGAGGGCAAGUCUGGUGCCAGCAGCCGCGGUAAUUCCAGCUCCACUAGCGUAUAUUA
rnacentral:rRNA from 1 species